rnacentral:rRNA from 1 species
GAUGAACGCUGGCGGCGUGCCUAAUACAUGCAAGUCGAGCGAAUGGAUUAAGAGCUUGCUCUUAUGAAGUUAGCGGCGGACGGGUGAGUAACACGUGGGUAACCUGCCCAUAAGACUGGGAUAACUCCGGGAAACCGGGGCUAAUACCGGAUAACAUUUUGAACCGCAUGGUUCGAAAUUGAAAGGCGGCUUCGGCUGUCACUUAUGGAUGGACCCGCGUCGCAUGAGCUAGUUGGUGAGGUAACGGCUCACCAAGGAAACGAUGCGUAGCCGACCUGAGAGGGUGAUCGGCCACACUGGGACUGAGACACGGCCCAGACUCCUACGGGAGGCAGCAGUAGGGAAUCUUCCGCAAUGGACGAAAGUCUGACGGAGCAACGCCGCGCGAGUGAUGAGGGCUUUCGGGUCGUAAAACUCUGUUGUUAGGGAAGAACAAGUGCUAGUUGAAUAAGCUGGCACCUUGACGGUACCUAACCAGAAAGCCACGGCUAACUACGUGCCAGCCGCCGCAGUAA